UAGAAACCGGAAGUUGACGAUUCCAUAACUGGACACGUCGCUACAUUAGACUUAUUGAGCUGUCACGCGUGUCGAGCGGCUCAGCAUGAAUGGUGUGAAAGUGACGCCCCAGCGCGAGGGGUUUCCCCCUCCCCAAGAUGCGCCCCUGCCGGCCCAGGACGUGGCGCAGGUCCGGUUCCUGAUCUCGGUGGCGGUGGCCGUGUUCGUCGUCUUGGUUCUGGUACUUUGGAAAGUUUUCCAAGCAAGAAAGAGCAGUCGGACAGCAGUGCUUCUGGCUGGUCUGUGUGACUCAGGAAAAACUCUUCUGUUUGUUAGGCUCUUAACAGGAAAUUUCCGAAAUACUCAGACUUCCAUAACCGAUGGUUCUGCCUUGUACAGAACAAAAAAUGACAAGAAUAGGAAUGUGACUUUAAUUGACCUUCCUGGCCAUGAGAGCUUGAGGCUUCAGUUCCUGGAUAGGUUCAAGGCUGCAGCUAGGGCAAUUGUGUUUGUUGUGGAUAGUGUCGCUUUCCAACGGGAGAUGAAAGACGUGGCAGAAUUUCUGUACCAGCUCCUGACUGACAACACAAUUCUGAAAAAUGCACCUCCCCUCUUAAUAGUCUGCAACAAACAAGAUGUUACAAUGGCAAAAUCUUCUAAGCUCAUACAGCAGCAACUGGAAAGAGAACUUAAUACCUUACGAGUGACCCUUUCUGCUGCCCCAAGUACCAUGGAUAGUUCAAGCUCAGGAUCUGUCAUUCAGCUUGGGAAGAAGGGAAAGGAGUUUGACUUCUCUCAGCUGCCCAUGAAAGUUGAAUUUAUUGAAUGUAGUGCCAGAGGAAACAAGGGAGAGGAGGGUAGUGCUGACAUUAAUGACUUGGAAAAAUGGCUAGCAAAAAUUGCCUGAGAAGAAGGUGGUAAAGAACAAGCCUUGGGAAGAGAGCGUAAAGACACUGCCAGUUGGCUUGGGACUCCAAAGGAGGGGCUCCAUAUUGGGAGUGGUAGAUAAUAUCAGAUCCCAUCUCCCCUACCACUCAUCCCACUCCCUCUCUCCCUCCCCAUCUUUUAGAUAAUCUAAUAUUUCUGAUGUUGUAUGAAAGACACCUCCUCCUUUACUGGUACAGAAUUGUCUUUGUUUUCUCAAUUAGAACUGGCCGUUCAUCAUCAUACAGGACUUUUGAAUACCUGAAGAGUGUAGGGGAUGUAGUACGCAGUAUCUGGGAACACGAGUGGAACAAUACGUUGAAGAACAACGACGGUUUGAAACAUUUUUUAGCAGAUAGUAAUCUUCCAACCCCUUUGAAUCCCAGAGAUGCAUUUUUUGGGGGUCGAACAAAUGCUACAUGUCUGUACUAUAAACCAAAGUAGGGGGAACAAAUCUUAUAUUAUGAUUUAACAAGCUUAUAUUCCUUUGUGAACAAGAACAAGUUGUACCUAGUAGGACAUCCGGAAAUAAUAUACCAAAACUUUGGGGAAAUAAAACAAUAUUUUGGAUUUGCUAAAGUUAAAGUGUACCUUCUAAGGGGCCUCUACUUUCCUGUACUGCCACAUAAAUCAGGUGGAAAAUUAAUGUUUAUUCUGUGUGCAACCUGUACAGAAAAACAACAAGCCACAGAGUGCCUCCACAAUGAUGAAGAAAGAGUCCUAACUGGCACAUGGUGCACUGUAGAAUUGAAUGUCACUGUGGAGAAAGGCUACAGAAUUGCAGAGAUCUAUGAAGUUUGGCAUUUUAAAAGGAAGACAAACACUUUCUUUUCAGGCUAUAUUAAUAUGCAUCUCCGUCAAAAACAGGAGGCCAGUGGGUACCCCGAUUGGUGCAAAACAGAAGAAGAUAAAGACCGCUAUGUUUGUGAUUAUGCAAAGAAGGAGGGGAUGUGCUUACACCUAGAACAUAUUGAAGUCAAUCCUGCUAAAAGGCAGAUUGCUAAGUUGUUUUUAAACUCAUUGUGGGGCAAAUUUGGCCAGGCAACCAAUCAUCUGACUACGUCUGUGGUGACAGAUCCUGAGGAAUUAUUUAUGUAUCUUUUUGUGCCCUAUAUUUUGUAUCCUGCAAUUUGUGGACGAUGAAGCAGCUGUUCUAAUGUGGAAAGCUGCUAAAAAUCAACCUACUAAGUCAACAUGUACAAAUGUAUUCAUUGCCAGUUUUACAACCGCUUAUGCACGGUUAGCAUUAUACAAUUUUUAGGCUAAGAACAGGCAUCUUCCCACCUGAAUGGCCAGUAGUUUACACUAUAAAAAAGAAGGGUAAAAAGUAACUAUUUUAACGGAGGGAUUCUCAAUUCAUCCAGGAUGUCAGAGAGGGUGCGCAGGAAUUGGGGUGUUUUAAAAAUCUUAGUAAAGGCCGGACUAAAACAGAGAAAGGCCAUCUUAUGCAAUGCUAAUGAUGACCUGGUGGGGGCCAUAGCCAAAAUAACUGUGAACACUUGAAAAGGUAUCCUGCCUCUGAAGCCUUCACAAUACCGAAAUUUAAAAAGAAAGACUGUAUUAAAAAGUUGAGCGAUAGUAAGCUCUCUCUGAAAAAGAAGAAACAGGUUAUUCUUUGGUCAGGUGGUUUUAUAGGUCCAUUACUAGGGGCUGCUAUACCAUUGCUGACUAAUCUAUUAAUCUGGUAAACAUGGACCAUGCAGAGAAAAUGUAUUUGGUGUUGAGGGACCAGAUGGAGCAGCUACACGGGUGGACACCUACUAUGGGAGUUACAGCCACUAACCGUUUGGGUGACGAGACGCGGACCAUUCUUCAGAGACCUGAUUUGCAUGAGGAUGACAAGAUUAAGCUCUACAAUUCUGUACUGCAGAGGUAUCUAAGACUGACCAGACAAAAUGAGUCUGAAAAGGACAGAUUGAAUCUCAUUUAUCCAGCAGAAGAACCAUCUCCAACAUUACCAGAACAGCCGCCACAGCCAACGACGCAGGACACAGUGACGGAUGAGAUCCUAAGGGAUGUGAGCACCCGUUACAGGAAAAAUGCGGAAGUUUUUCUGAACAAAAUGAAACACCAUCAAGACGUCUCAACCUGGGAUGAUCACAGUACCUUUUUAUACAAAGGUGUCCCUAUUCCUGGUACUAAUAUUUUAUACUUGGUGAAAGGAGCCUCACAACACUGAGCCCCUACUGAGAAGCAGAAACCUAAAGGCUGGGAUGACUUUAUGAAUGCUAUGGCUGAGGUGAAUGUUCCAACCUCUGUAUUGGGGUCUACAGCUGUUAAAGAGCAAGUAGAAAAGCUGAAAGAUUGUCUAAUUGUUAAGGAUGAAACUGCUACUGGCCCCAUCUCUGCUGUGACCACCUGUUCUGUUUCCCCCUACCAAUGCUGCCAACAAAAAGUCAGUCAAAGGCCUUCUUCAAGUUUAUUUACACUUGGCUGGAUUCCUUCUGGCACAAAGAUGUUCUGGCCACGUCUCCCCACGUGCCUGCCAAAAUCUCUGAAGAUAACUAGAAAAUUAUAGAUAAAGCAAGAGUCAUUCACAAACAGAUUCUUCUAUCCAUGAAACAGUUUGCCCGCGCAAAUUCAUUUCUUUGUCCAACACAAAAAGCCAAGAAGCUCCACCUCUUUUAUCCCCUGUGGGUGUCACUCCGUGACUCAUCAUUCCCUGAGCCGGUCCCCAAACUUCAUCUGCUGCACGCGCCGGUCACGUCUGUGCAGUCUCGCAUCGAGCCAAGAUUGUUCUUGGGGCGUUGCCAAAUCAGAAGAAGGCUCGGGGGAAUCUGGCCUUGCCAGCCCCUCCUCCUCCUCCUGGGUUGGUGCCAGGGAGGGAGAGGGCCCAGGGGAAGCAGGCCUUGCCAGCUCCUCCUCCUCACUCUCUGAAUCAUCCUCCUCCAGGAGUCCGAGUCUGGGAAUCUGGGUCACAACACCUUCCCUUUUGGGGCUCAGAAGCUUCUGUUUACAGGCAUCCCCUCUAGCCCUUGGACAUUAAAUCCUAGAAGUAAGCUCAGGUUUGGUGACUGGUUCAAUUUGUAAAAUGAAUAAAAACACAGUGAAACAAGUAAAAACGUUUUUAAGUCUUUUUCUUUAUUUUACAGUAAGGCAGGCAUGUCUGCAUGCACUGGUUCCGAGCCCCCUUCCCACCUUUAUAGUUUUUACAAACAGCUUUACCAUUCGAUCAUUUUUAAUAUUGGCAUUGGAGUACAUCUUUAAAACAUUUUCAUAGUCCACUCCUUUAGUCCGGUUCAGUAGAAAAAACGCAGUGUUGCCUGCAGGUCACAGUGUUGGGUUGUUGCAGUUGACAUUGGUGAAAUGUGUACUCAGCUUGCUGCUCUAAAAACAUCACUAUGGAGCCAGGAAAGUCAGGGCUAUCCGGCGGUCUUCCAUAAGAAUAAAAAAAAUUGCCAUAUCUGGGAGGUGGAAAGUAGAGGGCCAGCCAGUGUUCACCAGGCAGAGUGUGACGGUGGGUAUUUACAAUUAAUCCAAAAGGUCUUUUGGAGAUAUGUCUCUGGGGUAGCAGAUCACAAGGGUAGACCCCUAGAAAGGCUGUAUUUCCAGAGAACAAGUGGAGGAGCUGUGGUAUGUCCAUACUCGCAUAUAAUCAAAAAGGAGGCUGGGGGGAAUUAGGAUGAAAAAAUACCUGGCCAGCACUGGGUCAUCAGCUAGUCAAUUUAGAUAUUCAGUAUCCACAAUUUUAUUUCUAGUUAAUUUCAUUUAUUAAUCUCCUUUUUCUCUGUCUCCUCUUCCUAUAUGAUCUUAAACUGAAAUUGGAUUUACCUGGAUUUUAGGAAUGUCUGCUGACAAAUCUUCAAACUGAGAACUACCUUUUAGAAACUAGAAAAGAUACAUUUCUAUAUGCUGCUUCUCAUUUUAUGAAAUUAGGAUAAUAGCCACAAUUAUGGGCAUGAAAAUGACUUCUGAUGGCAUACCAUUUUAGUUCUGUGCUUCAGACUAAGAAAAACCUAGAUGCUCAGGCAUCUGAUCUGAAGGGAGGAAAAUCUGUUCCAAGUCACCUCAUUCCUCCCUACUGUUCUUGGAUCAUAGCUGAAGCAUGAUCUUUCCUCCUUUUCACUGUCAUGUUUACCAAGUGAUCUAAUACUUUUACCUCAUCCCUAAAUAGUGAUAUGCAUGGCCCAUUGCAAAAUUGUAAGAAGAUGGAUAGAAAUUGAGUCCAUCUUUUUGUUCACCAGCAUCACCAGUCCUGGAUCAUAGAUCUUGUCUUGAGUUCAGUUGCCUUGCACUUCAUAAUGGUGUCUUUAUUUUGUAAUUAUGCUUGGCAUCAGAGGUGGUAUUCACUUACCUUUGCUACCGGUUCGCAAACGUGAGCGUGCACCUCCAUGUGUGCGCAGAAACUUCCGCACAUGCGCAGAAUGUCAAAAAUGGGAUGUGAUGAUGUCUGGGUGAGUGGGCGGAGCCUCCCAGAGCUGCCGCUACCGGUUCAUCUGAACUGGAUAGAACCGGCUGAAUAUCACUGCUGCAUGACAUUAUCUGCUUUUAGGUCUAUGUGUAGAAGACACCUUUCCUGUAGUCCAGACAAAGGUAGAUGAAAAUUGAAUAUGCUUGAUCUUGAAGUGAGUUCUCCAAAUGCUAUUUUUAUUUUUAUUU